rnacentral:rRNA from 1 species
UUCACCUACGGGAGGCAGCAGUAGGGAAUUUUCGGCAAUGGGGGGAACCCUGAUGCAGCGACGCCGCGUGGGUGAAGGAGUAUUUCGGUAUGUAAAGCCCUAUUAGCAGGGAAGAACAAUGACGGUACCUGACUAAGAAGCACCGGCUAAAUACGUGCCAGCAGCCGCGGUAAUACGUAUGGUGCAAGCGUUAUCCGGAUUUACUGGGUGUAAAGGGAGCGCAGGCGGCGCGUUAAGCCUGGUGUGAAAGCCCGCGGCCCAACCGCGGGACUGCAUUGGGAACUGGCGCGCUGGAGUGCCGGAGG